AGAACGAACGCUGGCGGCAGGCUUAACACAUGCAAGUCGAACGCCCCGCAAGGGGAGUGGCAGACGGGUGAGUAACACGUGGGAACCUUCCCUAUAGUACGGAAUAGCCCAGGGAAACUUGGAGUAAUACCGUAUACGCCCGAAAGGGAAGAAUUUCGCUAUAGGAUGGGCCCGCGUAGGAUUAGCUAGUUGGUGAGGUAAUGGCUCACCAAGGCGACGAUCCUUAGCUGGUUUGAGAGAACGACCAGCCACACUGGGACUGAGACACGGCCCAGACUCCUACGGGAGGCAGCAGUGGGGAAUAUUGGACAAUGGGCGCAAGCCUGAUCCAGCCAUGCCGCGUGAGUGAUGAAGGCCUUAGGGUUGUAAAGCUCUUUUGCCGGGGACGAUAAUGACGGUACCCGGAGAAUAAGUCCCGGCUAACUUCGUGCCAGCAGCCGC
rnacentral:rRNA from 1 species